rnacentral:rRNA from 1 species
UAGCAAUACAUUGUAAACGGAGCGGCGCAAGGGUGCGUAACACGUGGGUAAUUUACCAUAAAGUUGGGGAUAACUCGCUGAAAGGCGAGCUAAUACCGGAUGUGAUAAUUUGGCGGCAUCGCUGGAUUAUUAAAGUUGGGGAUCGUAAGACCUGACGCUUUAUGAUAAGCCCGCGGCCUAUCAGCUAGUUGGUGAGGUAACGGCUCACCAAGGCUAAGACGGGUAGCUGGUCUGAGAGGACGACCAGCCACACUGGAACUGAGAUACGGUCCAGACACCUACGGGUGGCAGCAGUCGAGAAUUUUUCACAAUGGGGGAAACCCUGAUGGAGCGACGCCGCGUGGGGGAUGAAUGGCUUCGGCCCGUAAACCCCUGUCAUCUGGGAACAAUGUGCACUGUUUAAGAGAUGGUGUAUUGAUAGUACCGGAAGAGGAAGGGACGGCUAACUCUGUGCCAGCAGCCGCGGUAAUACAGAGGUCCCAAGCGUUGUUCGGAUUCACUGGGCGUAAAGGGUGCGUAGGUGGUCAGGUAAGUCCGAUGUGAAAUCUCCAGGCUCAACCUGGAAAUGGCAUUGGAUACUAUUUGGCUUGAGGAGUGGAGGGGGGACUGGAAUUCUCGGUGUAGCA